rnacentral:tRNA from 1 species
AGCCUGAUGGUGUAAUGGUAGCACAGCUGGUUUUGGUCCAGUCAGUCGGGGUUCGAAUCCCUGUCGGGCUGCCA